UGGGGAAUAUUGGACAAUGGGGGGAACCCUGAUCCAGCCAUGCCGCGUGCGUGAAGAAGGCCUUAUGGUUGUAAAGCACUUUAAGCGAGGAGGAGGGUACUGGUAUUAAUACUACCAGCUACUGGACGUUACUCGCAGAAUAAGCACCGGCUAACUCUGUGCCAGCAGCCGCGGUAAUACAGAGGGUGCAAGCGUUAAUCGGAAUUACUGGGCGUAAAGCGCGCGUAGGUGGUUCGUUAAGUUGAAUGUGAAAGCCCCGGGCUCAACCUGGGAACUGCAUCCAAAACUGGCGAGCUAGAGUAGGGCAGAGGGUGGUGGAAUUUCCUGUGUAGCGGUGAAAUGCGUAGAUAUAGGAAGGAACACCAGUGGCGAAGGCGACCACCUGGGCUCAUACUGACACUGAGGUGCGAAAGCGUGGGGAGCAAACAGG
rnacentral:rRNA from 1 species